AAGAUUACAAUGGUUCAAUACGAUAGAAGUGCAAUUUUACACUUUAGGAAGUCUGGUGAGAUUCCAGUACAGUUUUAUCCCUACUGUAAUGAGUUACGAAAGCUACACAACCACUGGUUGAUCCGGGAAGGGCAGCAAUUAGGUCUGAACUUUAGUCAGGAUACAAGUAUUGAAUCAUUAGAAAGC
rnacentral:ncRNA from 2 species